CUUCAUGCUUUGAGCACUCAUAAGGAAUUGUGGGUAGGUUACCAACGUCCUUGUCCUAUCAGGCGCACACUGUUUGACUGACUUCACACAAGGGCUAGGGGAUCCUUUCGUUUCGGGUUGAACCUGAGUUAGAUUUAUUCCACAAAAAUGAUGGCAGCAAGGUUUCUCCGUCGCUCUAUUCCUGUAUUGAGGCAAGCAAGAUGUUACGCCGACGCACCCUCAGGCUCUUCCCAGAUGUCCUUCACAUUUGCGUCUCCAACGCAGGUGUACUUCAAGGAGGCCAGUGUGAAACAGGUUGAUGUGCCCACACUGACUGGUGCUUUUGGUAUCCUCCCUGCUCACGUCCCCACGCUGCAGGUCCUCAGGCCUGGCGUGGUCACAGUGUUCAACGAUGAUGGCUCCGCAGCUAAAUUCUUUGUGAGCAGCGGGUCAAUCACAGUGAACGCAGACUCCUCAGUGCAGCUGCUGGCUGAGGAGGCCUUCCCCUUGGACCAGCUGGAUGUGGCUGCUGCCAAGGCCAACCUGGAGAAGGCCCAGUCUGAGAUGGCAUCAGCGUCUGACGAGGCUGCCAGGGCUGAGGUCCAGAUCAACAUAGACGCCAACGAGGCCAUCGUCAAAGCCCUGGAGUAGGCCAUGGGACUGGUCUCUGUGGGGGAUCACAACGACUUGAUCGCUGAUUAUCGUGGCAAGUGUCCAUCCAGAGAUGUCGUGUUGGUAUAACAGAAAUGAAAAUUCUCCAACUUUGUUUCCCUGCCCCGUGAAGUCAGUAACUGCAAGAUCUCAUGCUUGCUUUGUACAGUGGAAUGAAAUUACCAAUAAAUUUCUUUGGAUUUACCUGCCAGUC